rnacentral:rRNA from 1 species
UAAUACAUGCACGUCGAACGCUUUGUGGUUCAACUGAUUUGAAGAGCUUGCUCAGAUAUGACGAUGGACAUUGCAAAGAGUGGCGAACGGGUGAGUAACACGUGGGAAACCUACCUCUUAGCAGGGGAUAACAUUUGGAAACAGAUGCUAAUACCGUAUAACAAUAGCAACCGCAUGGUUGCUACUUAAAAGAUGGUUCUGCUAUCACUAAGAGAUGGUCCCGCGGUGCAUUAGUUAGUUGGUGAGGUAAUGGCUCACCAAGACGAUGAUGCAUAGCCGAGUUGAGAGACUGAUCGGCCACAAUGGGACUGAGACACGGCCCAUACUCCUACGGGAGGCAGCAGUAGGGAAUCUUCCACAAUGGGCGAAAGCCUGAUGGAGCAACGCCGCGUGUGUGAUGAAGGGUUUCGGCUCGUAAAACACUGUUGUAAGAGAAGAAUGACAUUGAGAGUAACUGUUCAAUGUGUGACGGUAUCUUACCAGAAAGGAACGGCUAAAUACGUGCCAGCAGCCGCGGUAAUACGUAUGUUCCAAGCGUUAUCCGGAUUUAUUGGGCGUAAAGCGAGCGCAGACGGUUAUUUAAGUCUGAAGUGAAAGCCCUCAGCUCAACUGAGGAAUUGCUUUGGAAACUGGAUGACUUGAGUGCAGUAGAGGAAAGUGGAACUCCAUGUGUAGCGGUGAAAUGCGUAGAUAUAUGGAAGAACACCAGUGGCGAAGGCGGCUUUCUGGACUGUAACUGACGUUGAGGCUCGAAAGUGUGGGUAGCAAACAGGAUUAGAUACCCUGGUAGUCCACACCGUAAACGAUGAGUGCUAGGUGUUUGAGGGUUUCCGCCCCUUUA